AGAGUUUGAUCCUGGCUCAGGAUGAACGCUAGCUACAGGCUUAACACAUGCAAGUCGAGGGGCAGCAUGGUCUUAGCUUGCUAAGGCCGAUGGCGACCGGCGCACGGGUGAGUAACACGUAUCCAACCUGCCGUCUACUCUUGGACAGCCUUCUGAAAGGAAGAUUAAUACAAGAUGGCAUCAUGAGUCCGCAUGUUCACAUGAUUAAAGGUAUUCCGGUAGACGAUGGGGAUGCGUUCCAUUAGAUAGUAGGCGGGGUAACGGCCCACCUAGUCUUCGAUGGAUAGGGGUUCUGAGAGGAAGGUCCCCCACAUUGGAACUGAGACACGGUCCAAACUCCUACGGGAGGCAGCAGUGAGGAAUAUUGGUCAAUGGGCGAGAGCCUGAACCAGCCAAGUAGCGUGAAGGAUGACUGCCCUAUGGGUUGUAAACUUCUUUUAUAAAGGAAUAAAGUCGGGUAUGCAUACCCGUUUGCAUGUACUUUAUGAAUAAGGAUCGGCUAACUCCGUGCCAGCAGCCGCGGUAAUACGGAGGAUCCGAGCGUUAUCCGGAUUUAUUGGGUUUAAAGGGAGCGUAGAUGGAUGUUUAAGUCAGUUGUGAAAGUUUGCGGCUCAACCGUAAAAUUGCAGUUGAUACUGGAUAUCUUGAGUGCAGUUGAGGCAGGCGGAAUUCGUGGUGUAGCGGUGAAAUGCUUAGAUAUCACGAAGAACUCCGAUUGCGAAGGCAGCCUGCUAAGCUGCAACUGACAUUGAGGCUCGAAAGUGUGGGUAUCAAACAGGAUUAGAUACCCUGGUAGUCCACACGGUAAACGAUGAAUACUCGCUGUUUGCGAUAUACAGCAAGCGGCCAAGCGAAAGCGUUAAGUAUUCCACCUGGGGAGUACGCCGGCAACGGUGAAACUCAAAGGAAUUGACGGGGGCCCGCACAAGCGGAGGAACAUGUGGUUUAAUUCGAUGAUACGCGAGGAACCUUACCCGGGCUCAAACGCAGGGGGAAUAUAUAUGAAAGUAUAUAGCUAGCAAUAGUCACCCGCGAGGUGCUGCAUGGUUGUCGUCAGCUCGUGCCGUGAGGUGUCGGCUUAAGUGCCAUAACGAGCGCAACCCCUAUGGACAGUUACUAACGGGUGAAGCCGAGGACUCUGUCUAGACUGCCGGCGCAAGCCGCGAGGAAGGUGGGGAUGACGUCAAAUCAGCACGGCCCUUACGUCCGGGGCGACACACGUGUUACAAUGGCAGGUACAGAAGGCAGCCAGUCAGCAAUGACGCGCGAAUCCCGAAAACCUGUCUCAGUUCGGAUUGGAGUCUGCAACCCGACUCCAUGAAGCUGGAUUCGCUAGUAAUCGCGCAUCAGCCAUGGCGCGGUGAAUACGUUCCCGGGCCUUGCACUCACCGCCCGUCAAG
rnacentral:rRNA from 1 species